GCCGGUUUAGCAGAAGUUUAAUGUUUACGACUUAGGAUCGUAGGGUGUAGGGUCUACAGCUGGU
rnacentral:tRNA from 1 species